rnacentral:lncRNA from 1 species
GUGCCUGUCACUUUCUCUGUUUUGUUUUUACAUUUUAGCGUAGUCGGAUUCAUGUCCAAAUUGUGGAGGUUCUUCUCGUCGGCAAUCGUUCGGUCGUCUGCUCUCCUCGUUUUGUUCUGUUGUUUGGAGAUUUUCUUCCACAGUCUCGGAAUUGCAUUUUGGUUGUACCCGUGGCGUGCCGCCUGCUCUAGUGUCCAGUCCAGCUCAUUGUUCCUGUCGGCUUGUGUUGUGCAGUGCGUUUCUGUCCGCUGUGGCGGGGCUCUGAGGGCUGCCGGUUUGCGGUGCCGGGGUUCGUUUGCGUCAGCUCUUAUGAGUGUGGGUGCAUAAGUGUCCUUUCUAGGAGUACUCAAGUGAUAUUCCCCUUGG